CGUCAAGUCAUCAUGGCCCUUAUGUCCAGGGCUACACACGUGCUACAAUGGCGGGUACAGAGCGACGCGAAGCCGCGAGGCCAGAGCGAAGCGCGAAAGCCCGCCGUAGUUCGGAUUGAAGUCUGAAACCCGACUUCAUGAAGUUGGAAUCGCUAGUAAUCGCGCAUCAGCAUGGCGCGGUGAAUACGUUCCCGGGCCUU
rnacentral:rRNA from 1 species